rnacentral:rRNA from 1 species
AAUAUUGGACAAUGGGCGAAAGCCUGAUCCAGCCAUGCCGCGUGAGUGAUGAAGGCCCUAGGGUUGUAAAGCUCUUUCAACGGUGAAGAUAAUGACGGUAACCGUAGAAGAAGCCCCGGCUAACUUCGUUCCAGCAGCCGCGGUAAUACGAAGGGGGCUAGCGUUGUUCGGAAUUACUGGGCGUAAAGCGCACGUAGGCGGAUUGUUAAGUGAGGGGUGAAAUCCCAGGGCUCAACCCUGGAACUGCCUCUCAUACUGGCAAUCUAGAGUUCGAGAGAGGUGAGUGGAAUUCCGAGUGUAGAGGUGAAAUUCGUAGAUAUUCGGAGGAACACCAGUGGCGAAGGCGACCACCUGGGCUAAUACUGACACUGAGGUGCGAAAGCGUGGGGAGCAAAC